rnacentral:tRNA from 1 species
GCUUUUAAAGGAUAGCAGCUCAUCCAUUGGUCUUAGGAACCAAAAACUCUUGGUGCAAAUCCAAGUAAAAGCU